UACGGAGGGGGUUAGCGUUGUUCGGAAUGACUGGGCGUAAAGCGCGCGUAGGCGGAUCAGGAAGUUGGGGGUGAAAUCCCGGGGCUCAACCCCGGAAUGGCCUUCAAAACUCCUGGUCUUGAGUUCGAGAGAGGUGAGUGGAAUUCCGAGUGUAGAGGUGAAAUUCGUAGAUAUUAGGAAGAACACCAGUGGCGAAGGCGGCUCACUGGCUCGGUACUGACGCUGAGGCGCGAAAGCGUGGGGAGCAAACAGG
rnacentral:rRNA from 1 species